UACGUAGGGGGCGAGCGUUGUCCGGAAUUAUUGGGCGUAAAGAGCGUGUAGGCUGUUCGGUAAGUCUGCCGUGAAAACCUGAGGCUCAACCUCGGGCGUGCGGUGGAUACUGCCGGGCUAGAGGACGGUAGAGGCGAGUGGAAUUCCCGGUGUAGCGGUGAAAUGCGCAGAUAUCGGGAGGAACACCAGUAGCGAAGGCGGUUGCCUGGGGCUUUGCUGACGCUGAUGCGCGAAAGCGUGGGGAGCGAUCCGG
rnacentral:rRNA from 1 species